CGGGGCAUGACCGAGAAGCUGUGAAGGAAGUGACGUAGGGCACGGGCCGGUGGCGUGAUGGAGCAGCAGCAGCAGCAACAGCAGCAGCAGCUCAGAAACCUGCGGGACUUCCUGUUGGUCUACAAUCGGAUGACGGAACUCUGCUUCCAGCGCUGCGUGCCCAGCCUGCACCACCGAGCUCUGGAUGCUGAGGAGGAGGCCUGUCUGCACAGCUGUGCUGGGAAGUUGAUCCAUUCCAAUCACCGCCUCAUGGCCGCUUACGUGCAGCUCAUGCCUGCCCUGGUACAGCGCCGCAUCGCAGACUACGAGGCUGCCUCAUCUGUGCCAGGUGUUGCUGCUGAACAGCCCGAAACCUCGCCAUCAGGGAGCUAGCCGUCCCCAACCCCGGGAAGGGAGGCACUGGAUGGACCCUCAAAUUUAAGGAGCCAGUGGACCUUGGGCUGGGUGCAACCUGUAUAUAGAUGAGCAGUAAAAUCUUUAAACAAAGAAGAUCUGUGUACUUGUCUUCAGGAGCAGUCAGAAAGGGGAAAACUUGUGGAACCAUAUUCUGCAAUACAGUCAGACUCGAGGGAUAAAAACCUAAGGGAGGGGCUUCCCUGGUGGCGCAGUGGUUGAGAAUCUGCCUGCCAAUGCAGGGGACACGGGUUCGAGCCCUGGUCUGGGAAGAUCCCACAUGCCGCGGAGCAUCUGGGCCCGUG